rnacentral:rRNA from 1 species
AAGGGUUGGGCUGUUCGCCCAUUAAAGCGGUACGCGAGCUGGGUUCAGAACGUCGUGAGACAGUUCGGUCCCUAUCCUCCGCAGCCGAAAGUGAUUUGAGGAAGGCUGUCCCUAGUACGAGAGGACCGGGACGGACGGAGCUCUGGUGUGUCAGUUGUCCUGCCAAGGGCACGGCUGAUUAGCCACCUCCGGAAGGGAUAACCGCUGAAAGCAUCUAAGCGGGAAGCCCGUUCCAAGAUGAGAUCACUCAUGCAGUCAAUGCAGUAAGGCCCGUGGCGAGAUCACCACGUUGAUAGGCCGGAAGUGUACAGAUGGCAACAUCUUUAGCUGACCGGUACUAAUCGGCCGAGGGCUUGGAUUUA